CCUACGGGUGGCAGCAGUGAGGACUAUUGGUCAAUGGGCGGAAGCCUGAUCCAGCCACGUCGCGUGCAGGAUGACGGCCCUACGGGUUGUAAACUGCUUUUAUACGGGCAUACCGCGCAUUACGUGUACGGCUUUGCAUGUACCGUAUUAAUACGGUCCGGCUAAUUCCGUGCCAGCAGCCGCGUUAAUACGGAAGGUCCGGGCGUUAUCCGGAUUUAUUGGUGUUAAAGGGCGCGUAGGCCGCAUGUCAAGCGUGCUGUGAAAUGUCCGGGCUCAACCCGGGCCUUGCAGCGCGAACUGGCGGGCUGGAGUCCGCGGAAGGCAGGCGGAAUUCGUCGUGUAGCGGUGAAAUGCUUAGAUAUGACGAAGAACCCCGAUUGCGAAGGCAGCUUGCUGCAGCGGAACUGACGCUGAUGCUCGAAAGCGCGGGUAUCGAACAGGAUUAGAUACCCGAGUAGUC
rnacentral:rRNA from 1 species